AUGUAGGGCAAUCAGUCUUUAAGUAGGGUUAAAUUACUCUAAAGAAAUGAAUCCUAAAUAGUUUUCCGUUCAAGUCAAACGUCUUGU
rnacentral:pre_miRNA from 1 species